rnacentral:rRNA from 1 species
CACGAGAGUGCCUCGCAAGAGAGCCUGGAGACAGGUGCUGCAUGGCUGUCGUCAGCUCGUGUCGUGAGGAUUGUUGGGGUUUAAGUCCCGCAACGAGCGCAACCCCUAUCUUUAGUUGCCAUCAUUGAGUUGGGCACUCUAAAGAGACUGCCGGUGUCAAACCGGAGGAAGGUGGGGAUGACGUCAAGUCCUCAUGGCCUUUAUGACCAGGGCUACACACGUACUACAAUGGCCGGUACAAAGGGCAGCGACACAGCGAUGUGAAGCGAAUCCCGAAAAGCCGGUCUCAGUCCGGAUUGGAGUCUGCAACUCGACUCCAUGAAGUUGGAAUCGCUAGUAAUCGCGGAUCAGCACGCCGCGGUGAAUACGUUCCCGGGCCUU